rnacentral:tRNA from 1 species
GGAAAGGUAUCGAAGUGGUCAUAACGAGCCGCACUCGAAAUGCGGUUGUCGGGCAACUGGCACAUGGGUUCGAAUCCCAUCCUUUCCGCCA